rnacentral:rRNA from 1 species
CCUACGGGUGGCAGCAGUGAGGAAUAUUGGUCAAUGGACGAGAGUCUGAACCAGCCAAGUAGCGUGAAGGAUGACUGCCCUAUGGGUUGUAAACUUCUUUUAUAUGGGAAUAAAAUGUUCCACGUGUGGGAUUUUGUCUGUACCAUAUGAAUAAGGAUCGGCUAACUCCGUGCCAGCAGCCGCGGUAAUACGGAGGAUCCGAGCGUUAUCCGGAUUUAUUGGGUUUAAAGGGAGCGUAGGUGGAUUGGUAAGUCAGUUGUGAAAGUUUUCGGCUCAACCGUAAAAUUGCAGUUGAAACUGGCAGUCUUGAGUACAGUAGAGGUGGGCGGAAUUCGUGGGGUAGCGGUGGAAUGCGUAGAUAUCACGAAGAACUCCGAAUGCGAAGGCAGCUCACUGGACUGCAACUGACACUGAGGCUCGAAAGUGUGGGUAUCAAACAGGAUUAGAUACCCGAGUAGUC